UGCGUAGGCGGCUUCAUAAGUCAGAGGUGAAAGCCCACAGCUUAACUGUGGAAUUGCCUUUGAUACUGUGGAGCUUGAAUUAGGUUGAGGUUAGCGGAAUGUGGCAUGUAGCGGUGAAAUGCAUAGAUAUGCCAUAGAACACCAAUUGCGAAGGCAGCUAACUAGGCCUUGAUUGACGCUGAGGCACGAAAGCGUGGGGAGCGAACAGGAUUAGAUACCCUGGUAGUCC
rnacentral:rRNA from 1 species